CGUGUCACUCUCAAGAAAAAGGGCUCUUCAUUUCUCUCUCUUCUUGUGCAAUACUACCUCUUCCUUCUUUGUGAUUUUGGGGGUUAAUUUUCUGGUGGUUUUUUCUGAAAAUAAUCUCAGAAAACAGCAUGAAAUAUUCAAGAUCUAUAUGGGUAUUGUGCUAAUUUGGUCUUGGUUGAGUCAAAUCCGUGUGACUAUUUGUUGGUCGGUUUUUAUUGCGAAAACUUAAUGUUUUUCAACCAUUCUUGUAUACUUUAGAGGUUGAUUUGUAUAGUUCCUUGGUGGAAGGUAAUAUUCUGUGAAAGAGCACCCAUUUUCUAUGGUUCGAAGAGGGCAGUUCGGUUUUGGUGAUCUGUGUUAUCUGGAUUUUGAAUCUUUAGUGGAGUGAGGCUUGAUUUGUGUGUUAUUUUAAAGAUAAGUCUUGGUGACUUUAUUUGUUAUAUUUUCUGGAACAUUAUUGUAUAUUUACUGCCUAUUUUGGGGCUUUAUAGUGCGACUGAGUUUUAUCCAUUCUAAUGGAUACUCAACAUGGGAUUAGGCAUUAGAAGUGGUCGUCGAACCUCUGGGGCUUCGGCCGAAAAAUUAUUCGUGUUCAUUUUUAUUUUCUACACUUUAUUUUCAGUUUAUAAUUGUGGUUUUGGAAUCUUGAUUAAUAUUUAGUAUCUCUCG
rnacentral:lncRNA from 1 species